GCCCAAUCACAGCGAUCGUCAACCGGCCGACGGUCGUGGUCAUGUCGACAUGGUCAUUUUUUUGUUUGUGUGGCCAUUUUGUGCGGACGUCCUCGGCGCGCACCAAUGACUCGCGACUUGGCGGCUAGCCGCAGAAUUCGAGCCGGCCGGGCCGCGGCCAAGCCGACAUCGACGAGAGUCAAACAUGCCAACACUUUUUGCGAGCCGUGAAUCGAUCGUGGGCAAAAAAUGUGCUCGGAGAAUAUACGGACCCAAGCGCGAAUGCGAUCCCGAAUGCGACUGGUCGUGAUCUCCGUGCAUGAUUUAUUCACACUUUAGAAAACAGUGCUGGCGGGCUCGGCUCUCGUCAGGGGCCGAGUUGGCCAGCCGGCCCGACCGGCCCGACCGGCCCAACCGCGAACGGGCCGGCUGGCCAUUGACCAUCGCUGCAAGCGCCACGUCUACCUGUUUGUUGUCCACCGUAAAGUGUCGCCCUGCAGGCCGGAAUGUCUUUUGUCGAACCGCGGCUAUGCGUGCCAUUCUUUUUCUUUCGUUAACAAAAAAAAAAGAGGUUACACCGAGACGCUCAUGGCAGCGGCAAGUUGCGUACACGCCUUGGCGCAGGGCGUGUCGGCCGCCUCGCGCAUCAACGCCGUCAGGCGCGCAUAGAUCGUCGUGCCGCCCUCGCGGGCGAGACGCCGUCGGCACAGAGCAAAGAGACCGCUGUCGGCGAUGGUGACGGCGCCGGAAGAGGUCGGCGACAUGGCAACGCCCACGGUGACGGCCGUCGCCGGCGACGAGAGGGCCUGUGCGAUCAGGCCAAUCACGCGCUCGCGCUCGACCCACUCUUCCUUGGCGCCGGGAGCCGGCCGAUGCGGGUCGACACGCCCGCCCACCACCUCCCACAUGCCGGCAAUCUCGUGCGAUGCCACCACGGCGAGGCUCAGCCUGCACACGCCGUUGCGCGUCUCCCACAGGCGUACCGGGCCGCCGACGGCGUCGGCGCGCUCUAUGACGUCGCUGGCCACUCUGCGGUUCCACUUGCGCUCAAAUGUCGCCUCCCUCUGCUGCCGCCGUCCGCCGUCGUGGUCGUCCGAAUCGCUUUGUUCCUGGUGGCCGUCACCGUCUAAUCCGUCCUUGUCGUCGUCGUCGUCGCUGCCGUGCGGCCUUUCGCUCUUGAUGCGUGUGCAGGCGACGCCGCCAUUGUCGUCGGCCGUGUCCACGACGUCGACGUUCCUGUUGUUGGGGUGACCGUCAAGGCCAGAGGCGGCGGUGGGCAACACCGACUGGGCAAACCUGCGGCUGCGUUCGGUGAGCGCGGCGUUCGACAUGUCGACGGCGACAAACUGCCUAGCGCGAGGCGAUGCAACACGAGUGGCCGUAUGGCACGCCCUAUCGCUGUCGCCGACAGAGUCAGCGUUGGGUCGCCAAUCCAGGGGCCGAUCGGUCCACGUCCUUUCGGCGGCCCGCUGUGAUGCAGAGGGUGCACGUCGGCGCGUGCGCCGGCGCUGCGUGAGCCGGCGGUCCCGGUCGGUAUUGUCGUCGCCCUCACUCUCGGCCUUGUCGUCGUCGUCUGCGCUAGACGAGGUUGCAGCGAUGCACGCGCGAGUCCGCUUACGCGACGGCGCGCUCGACCCUGCGGUGUCGGUCUGGAUCGCGCGGGUUUCCACACCGUCGGGGUUGUCAUGGUCACCGCCAGCAUUGUCAUCGCCGCCGGCGCCGGCCCGAUCGCCCGAGGUUGGAUCGCGCGCAACCGGCGGUUCCUCCGAGGGCGGGUCCUCCUCGGUUAGAUGACGCGCGACUGGCGAUCCGGGUGCCGACGGCGCGGCGUCACCGAUGUGUGCCUUGUAUAGUUCGGCCAGCAGAGUCGCCGCUCCGGGAUCGGUCGGGUGCACGACGACCGCGACAGUGUCGAUGAAUUGAUCGAGACGAGAGGCUCGAACGACCGCCGUCUUGAUGUGUCGGGUGAUGUUGGUGCCGGCCUUGUACGUCCGAGGGAGCGAUAUGCAAUCGAGUCGCCCGACGCGGCGACAGACCUUAUCCAUCACACGAUCCGUGACCGCGCGCUCGUUGCCAUUGCACACGUGGGCGGUCAUGGCGCGCACGAUGUCGAUGGCCGGCAUCCAGCGCUCGUCGCACGUCUGCUGUGUCACCCGAAUCGCCGUUUCUUGCGGCAGACUCGGGUCGGCGCUGUCUCGGUCCGACCCCGUUCGGCAGACAGUCGGCGCAUUUGUCUGGGCGGCGGCGUUGUCGUCGUCUCUGGUGCGAUAGAUGAUCGCGGGCGAGCCCGCGGGGGGUCCAGCCGAAGCGCGCACGACAACGGUCAGGGGACGCGCCGGGUCGUGGCGUGCCAGCGCCUCGGUUACCUGUGCCCCCGGUGCCACACGCCCGCGAACACGAAAAAAACACCAACAACAAGAAAAAAACACGGUCGCGAAAAUGAGACGCGGCAAUACGUACGCAAAGCAGAGCAAAAAAGAAACAAAGAUGCGCGCGCACACGCAAAAAAGACAAAAGGUGACCGACGACACAGACAAAAGAAAAAGCACACAACGGGGAAGAAAAGG
rnacentral:lncRNA from 1 species